CAGUCGCCGCGGGAAUACGGAGGAUCCAAGCGUUAUCCGGAAUCAUUGGGUUUAAAGGGUCCGUAGGCGGUCUUGUAAGUCAGUGGUGAAAGCCCAUCGCUCAACGGUGGAACGGCCAUUGAUACUGCAGGACUUGAAUUAUUGGGAAGUAACUAGAAUAUGUAGUGUAGCGGUGAAAUGCUUAGAGAUUACAUGGAAUACCAAUUGCGAAGGCAGGUUACUACCAAUUGAUUGACGCUGAUGGACGAAAGCGUGGGUAGCGAACAGGAUUAGAUACCCGGGUAGUCCCUGUCUCUUAUAU
rnacentral:rRNA from 1 species